rnacentral:rRNA from 1 species
GACGUAGGGCGCAAGCGUUGUCCGGAUUUAUUGGGCGUAAAGAGCUCGUAGGCGGUCUGUCGCGUCGAAUGUGAAAACCCGGGACUCAACUCCGGGCCUGCAUUCGAUACGGGCAGACUAGAGUUCGGUAGGGGAGACUGGAAUUCCUGGUGUAGCGGUGAAAUGCGCAGAUAUCAGGAGGAACACCGGUGGCGAAGGCGGGUCUCUGGGCCGAUACUGACGCUGAGGAGCGAAAGCGUGGGGAGCAAACAGG